ensembl:lncRNA
CCUUUCAAACAAAAUCAAAACAGGACCAGAGAAUCUCAGACCGACUCUAACAUCCCUGCUGCGAGGCCCGCGGGCUGUGGAAUCUCGCACGUCACCUGGCCUCAGCAAGGCGGCCAGCUGAGGGGUUCAUUUUAUUUAAUUUUAUUUUUUGAAGUUAAGGCUGAAUCUCGGCUUCAGUGGUUUUUGCCAACGUCUCUUCUGACAGGAACCAGCAAACUUCAGGACUCAAAUGAGCGUCUUAAUUUAUUGAUGCAAAACAGGUCUGCUUUUCGCCCCCAAUUCUCCGCGCGCUCUGUCCCCCAAGCCCCCAGCUUCGGUCCCUCCAUUUGAUCUCAGGUUUAGAAAGUGUAAAAAAUUCCCAGAGCACCCCUGACCCUCAAGAAGACUGAUCAAUUCAGAGAGAAAUAUCAUGUCCUGUAUUUUGUACCUGCUAAGCAAAUGCACAACUUGAAUUGUUGGGUUGUUUUCUUGGCCAGGUUGCCCUGUUACCUAGCAGGCCCAGCAGUUGUAGAUGUGACCUAGAGAGAACCAAGGACUUUGCCUAGAAUUCAAGUGUCUAGUUCUUCUCUGGCCUUUGAAUCUUCCAGAUCCACCCUCACGGCCAACACCAUGUACAUGUCACACCCAGCAUCUUCUCACCCUU